rnacentral:rRNA from 1 species
UACAGAGGGUGCGAGCGUUGUUCGGAAUUAUUGGGCGUAAAGAGCUCGUAGGCGGUUUGUCGCGUCUGCCGUGAAAGUCCGGGGCUCAACUCCGGAUCUGCGGUGGGUACGGGCAGACUAGAGUGAUGUAGGGGAGACUGGAAUUCCUGGUGUAGCGGUGAAAUGCGCAGAUAUCAGGAGGAACACCGAUGGCGAAGGCAGGUCUCUGGGCCACUACUGACGCUGAGAAGCGAAAGCAUGGGGAGCGAACAGG